rnacentral:misc_RNA from 1 species
GCAGUCUAUUAAUUACUUAAUCGGUGAUCUCUUACAAUUUCCGAGAACUAUUGCUACUAUUACAUAUAUUGAAUCUUGCCUAUACGUGCAGGCCUGUGGCAACGUAUGCAUUAGUAAUGUCAGCAUGGAAAAUAAAAAUAUUGAUUAUCCGUAUUGGGAUUCGAUUAGUUCUUCCAAUUCGGCCAUCGUAAUAUAUAUAAAAUGGUAUUAACUGUCGCAUGAUAUCAAGCUUGCAUAGACGUAACGUGCGUUGGCCAGAUUGAUCAGCGUUUUCAUCUUCGUGAAAUGAAAUUUGAACUAAUGUAGCCCUUACAAGCGUCCGCCCGUUAGGCCCUUAACAACAUAUGUGAAAAUCAAGGUUAUCGGCGUGAUGUACCUUGAGGUGAAUAAUUACAGUUAAUUUUAACUAGUAUAAUCGAUCUAGUAUUUUUAUAUAACAGGAAUAGUGUUUUAUCGAAAGUCCUUCCAUCAAAUCAAUCAAAAAUAAAGAACUUUUAAUAUUGUAUUUAUUUUACACACCUAAUACUUCAUUUAGAAAAUAAAUAUCACUAUUUGAAAUAAAAUAUUAAAGUAAAAUAUAAUUCCAAUUUACUCUUUUUUGAUAACAAUAUGUAUUUCGAGUAAGUGCUUUGACUGAUACUCCGAAAUUUGCUUUGCGGAAUUGCUAUUAAAGUAUGUACAUAAAUUCUUGUACAG